rnacentral:rRNA from 1 species
UUCCAUGAAGCUGGAAUUGCUAGUAAUGGCAGGUCAGCAUACUGCCGUGAAUAACGUUCCCGGGCCUUGUACACACCGCCCGUCACACCAUGAGAGUUGGAAAUACCCGAAGCCUGUGAGCUAACAAACGAGGCAGCAGUCGAAGGUAGAGCCAAUGAUUGGGGUGAAGUCGUAACAAGGUAAC